GUUACCCAUUUUAUAACCCUAAAAAGCUAAAAUGUUUGGCUUUUCUUCGCUCGCAGCGGCAGCCAUCGUCUCAUCUCCAUCUGAAUCGAGUUUAGUAGAUUUUAGGUUCUUAAAAUCCCCAUCUUUACAAGAACUCCGAAAAUACCUUUUAAUCUUGGUUCAAAAUGAACUUUUGCUGCAAAUCUACAAUUAGUAGACCUUAUUCUCCAAACCCAUUUCAACUUUUCUUGAAAAUAUGAAGUACCAGUACCUAGAUUUUAAUUUGAUUUAGGAUUCAUCUUGUCUUUAGCAUAUUGAUACCUUAUGCUUUUUCUAUUUAUGAUUUACAAUCAGAUCUAAAUCUUUGCUUGAUUACUCAUUCAAUUAAUCUAUAGUUGUACUGGUAAUUGCAAUGAAAUCUCUUUACACGAUGAAGGAAAUCUACAGUUGUCUCACCUAUUAAUUUCCUAAAGCUCUAUCUAUAGAUUUUGAUUGAGAAUGGGAGUCACCCCUCUCUGCGUUUAAUCUACGGCUAAUGCUCUUGGGGUCAUGAGCUUGUACACACCACCACAACUAAUUAACAGGAUGGAUUGCAAAUGGUGGAGACCCUUAUGGAACAGGGAUUAAUUGGAAAGGUGUUACCUGCACCGGCACAUCCGUUACAGCUUUAAAAUUAUCAGGUCCUCAACUAAAUGGAAAUGUUGGUGUGAAGCUCUGUGAUUGUGAAUAAGAUGGAGUUUCAGAAAUUGAAUAAAGAUUGAAAAUGGGUUUUGAUUUUUGUUUUGCAUUGACCUGUGUUUGAUUUUAGUGUUGAAAUUGGAUGGAUUUGUGUUUGAUUUUUGUGUUUAA